rnacentral:rRNA from 1 species
CAGUAGCCGCGGGAAUACGGAGGGUGCAAGCGUUAAUCGGAAUUACUGGGCGUAAAGCGUGCGCAGGCGGUUCGGAAAGAAAGGUGUGAAAUCCCAGGGCUUAACCUUGGAACUGCACUUUUAACUACCGGGCUAGAGUGUGUCAGAGGGGGGUGGAAUUCCGCGUGUAGCAGUGAAAUGCGUAGAGAUGCGGAGGAACACCGAUGGCGAAGGCAGCCCCCUGGGAUAACACUGACGCUCAUGCACGAAAGCGUGGGGAGCAAACAGGAUUAGAUACCCGAGUAGUCCCUGUCUCUUAUAC